CGACCGGCGCACGGGUGCGUAACGCGUAUGCAACCUACCUUUAACAGGGGAUAACACUGAGAAAUUGGUACUAAUACCCCAUAAUAUCAUAGAAGGCAUCUUUUAUGGUUGAAAAUUCCGAUGGUUAGAGAUGGGCAUGCGUUGUAUUAGCUAGUUGUGGGUAACGGCUCACCAAGGCGACGAUACAUAGGGGGACUGAGAGGAAGGUCCCCCACAUUGGAACUGAGACACGGUCCAA
rnacentral:rRNA from 1 species